UACGUAGGGGGCAAGCGUUGUCCGGAUUUAUUGGGCGUAAAGAGCGUGUAGGCGGCCAGGUAGGUCCGUUGUGAAAACUCGAGGCUCAACCUCGAGACGCCGAUGGAAACCAUGUGGCUAGAGUCCGGAAGAGGAGAGUGGAAUUCCUGGUGUAGCGGUGAAAUGCGCAGAUAUCAGGAAGAACACCCGUGGCUAAGGCGGCUCUCUAGUACGGUACUGACGCUGAGACGCGAAAGCGUGGGGAGCAAACAGG
rnacentral:rRNA from 1 species